rnacentral:rRNA from 1 species
UACGGAGGGGACUAGCGUUGUUCGGAUUUACUGGGCGUAAAGCGCACGUAGGCGGAUUGUUUAGUCAGGGGUGAAAUCCCGAGGCUCAACCUCGGAACUGCCUUUGAUACUGGCAAUCUCGAGUCCGGAAGAGGUGAGUGGAAUUCCUAGUGUAGAGGUGAAAUUCGUAGAUAUUAGGAAGAACACCAGUGGCGAAGGCGAGUCACUGGUCCGGUACUGACACUGAGGUGCGAAAGCGUGGGGAGCAAACAGG